rnacentral:tRNA from 1 species
AGCUUUAUAGUCAAAAAAUGACAUUAAAUUGCAAAUUUAAAGUUAAUAUAGAUGUUAUUUAAGGCUU